AAUACGUUCCCGGGCCUUGUACACACCGCCCGUCACACCAUGAGAGUUUGUAACACCCAAAGCCGGUGGGGUAACCUUUUGGAGCCAGCCGUCUAAGGUGGGACAGAUGAUUAGGGUGAAGUCGUAACAAGGUAGCCGUAGGAGAACCUGCGGCUGGAUCACCUCCUUU
rnacentral:rRNA from 1 species